CUUUAGCCAGUUUUAUUUCCCCAAAUGUUAUCCUCUCAUCUUCCCAUGUCCAUUUGUCAAAGCUGAGACACCAGCCUUGGCACUCACUACUGUCUGAACCUCAGACCUCAUUCCAACGUCCCCAGUUCCCCCUUAGGCUCCUGUUCCUGUUCCAGGGUCCCGUCGGGAGCUCAUGCUGCAGAGGGUCAUCCUGGCUCCUUCGGGUCCUCCUGACUGUGGCCACUUCUCAGUCUUUGUUUUUCAAGUUUGUCAGGCAUGUUAUAGAACAUCC
rnacentral:lncRNA from 1 species